rnacentral:hammerhead_ribozyme from 1 species
AUAUAUAUGACGAAUCCCAAAUAAGAUGAAACGCGCGUCCAGGAU